UAAGGAAUAUUGGUCAAUGGACGCAGGUCUGAACCAGCCAUGCCGCGUGAAGGAUGAAGGUCCUCUGGAUUGUAAACUUCUUUUAUCUGGGACGAAAACGGGAUUUUUAUCUCAAUUGACGGUACCAGAGGAAUAAGCACCGGCUAACUCCGUGCCAGCAGCCGCGGUAAUACGGAGGGUGCGAGCGUUAUCCGGAUUUACUGGGUUUAAAGGGUGCGUAGGUGGGCUUAUAAGUCAGUGGUGAAAUCUCCGAGCUUAACUUGGAAACUGCCGUUGAUACUAGAGGUCUUGAAUUAUCUGGAGGUAAGCGGAAUAUGCCAUGUAGCGGUGAAAUGCUUAGAUAUGACAUAGAACACCAAUUGCGAAGGCAGCUUACUACAUAUAAAUUGACGCUGAGGCACGAAAGCGUGGGGAUCAAACA
rnacentral:rRNA from 1 species